rnacentral:lncRNA from 1 species
UGGCACAACUUUUUGGAAUUUUGGGUCCUCAAUGCUCUUCAACUUUGUAUUUAUUUGGCUUUUUAACUAUUUUGAUCUGAGCGUCACUGAUGAGUCUUAUGUAGACGAAACGCGCGUCUGGCGUAUAAAUUUAUAAUCCUGGUACUUUUGAUAACUAUUUACACCACUGGGUCGAUGCCACUGCUGGUGGACGUUUCGUCCCCG